GGAAUAUUGGACAAUGGGCGCAAGCCUGAUCCAGCCAUCCCGCGUGCAGGAUGACUGCCCUAUGGGUUGUAAACUGCUUUUCUUUGGGAAGAAACCCCCGCUUUUAAUCGGGGCUGACGGUACCAGAGGAAUAAGCACCGGCUAACUCCGUGCCAGCAGCCGCGGUAAUACGGAGGGUGCAAGCGUUAUCCGGAUUCACUGGGUUUAAAGGGUGCGUAGGCGUCUCGACAAGUUUUCGGUGAAAUCCUCCGGCCUAACCGGAGAACUGCCGGGAAAACUGUCGGGAUUGAGUACGGCUGAGGUGGGCGGAAUACAGCAUGUAGCGGUGAAAUGCUUAGAUAUGCUGUAGAACACCGAUUGCGAAGGCAGCUCACUAAACCGUUACUGACGCUCAGGCACGAAAGCGUGGGUAUCGAAC
rnacentral:rRNA from 1 species